rnacentral:lncRNA from 1 species
UCCAUCUCCAUAGAAAAGAAAUCCCCUUUCAGGGUCAUAACAUGCUCCUCUGUCUGUGCUCCAAGACUUUGGGAUAAAGCAGUCCAAUUCUCGCUGGAAGUCUUGGCACAAUCAAGAAGAUGAAUUUACUGCUCACCAAGACCAAUCCUGAUUAUGGAAAAGACUCGAAUUUUCAAUCCUGAUCUAGCAGGUUCUGGCUCAAUGCCUGCAACAAUAGCAUCACAAUUAUCUCGCACAAACAUAACCUUCAACAGCGCUGCCCAUGUGUGGAAUUCUCCCUUGUAGACAGGGAUAAGGCGCUACUCCACAAUGGCACCACUGCUGCUGCUCGCCAUGUGACUGCGAACAUGCAACAAUCUCUUGCGAUUGAUACAGUGCCGGAGAUUGCAGGAAGCACGGUCUACCAUUCACAGCUCUGAUACCAUGAUGAUACUGCUAAAGAGCAUCUUGAUCUAUUACACCCUAGGUACAGAGGAACAGAACCUGCCUAUGUGGCAUAGAGCCAGUGACUAAGCUAUUAACAUUGAAAGCCUGCUCAAUAUCAUCCCUGGGCGCGACGACAUGAAAUCUUUUCUAUCCGACUUUUGAGAGAUUGUGCUGCCCAAAUGCUUAUCCAAGAGCGCUACUGAAGGAGUCAUCAUGGAACUUCCAUGAUGGAAGUUCUUCAGCAAGUCGAAUCGGCCAUGCAAUAUCAUCAUGGGCCGGGGGCAAAGUAUUGGAAGUUCAAGAUUGUAAUAUGUUACACAGUUGCAGGCCAAUUGACCUGGAUUGUUAGACACUAGAUUAGGAUAAUAAGAUAAAAAAAGGCUUUAUAAUCAAAUGAUCACCCCUUUAGCCAAUUAGUAUAAAGUGUAAAGGAUAGAAUUUUAACAGCGAAUGAGGCUUGAUUUCUUAGUGGUACUACAAUGCAAUGGCAAUGCAGUUCCAGCAAAUCUGGGACACCUGCUGAGGGAUUGUGCUGCCCAAACACUUAUUGAAGAGUGCUACCAAAGGAGUCACCAUGGAACUUCCAUGAUGGAAGUUCUUCAGCAAGUUGAAUCAGCCGCACAGUAUCAUCAUGGGCCAGGGGCAAAGUAUCGGAAGCUCAAGAUUGUGGUAUGCUACGCAGCUAUAGGCCAGUUCGGCCAGUUUUUCAUGCUCUAAGCAAGAAGCAUACGUGAUUCACUGAGAAAACUCUGUUUUCUAACGUUCUUUUGGCGCAGGGAGUCCUCACGCCAGUGACUGACGUGCUGGAUGUGACUAAGCAAGCUCUACUUCUUGUUGCUAUGAAUGGAUGUGAGCGUGGCCGCUGAAACCCCGUGAGUGAUGAACAAGCUCGCACCAAUUCGGUACUGACUAGAUCAUUUCAGGCCUCCACUUGAUACGUUUGUUCCCCAUGGUCACUGCGAAAUCAAGCUCAUGCGUGAAGAGAAUCGUAGACUUCGAAGCGUAUUCUGCUGAGCACGAGGUCUGUCUUGCCGGUCUCGAGGCUGCUUACAUGGCUGCCAUAGAAGAUAGCGGACAUAUGAUCAGUAGCGUGUUCGGGCCUACACUUGAGUCCAAGGAGGUAGAACUCAUGCGCGAGGCCGUCCCGAAGCACACGUGCUCUUCUGAUAUCUCGGAAUCAUCAGAACGAUCUUCUUCAUCAGACAGUAGCAGCAGCAAUGGCAGCAGGAGGGAGAUUGGCAAGUGAUCAAGGCGAUGAAGGCGGUCUACAAGGUGGAAACUCUACCGCUCUGUGCGAAGAAAUAGCCUGACAACAGGGAGGACAUGCGCAACAUGGCGUACGGAGUUUUGUGAGGAUUGAAAGCAAGCUUUCUCAACUUUCUUUCCUUCUGUUUUUGAUCUUAGUGUCUGUCUCAUCCUUGUUUAUAAACUUUCGGGCUUGGUGCACAGGAUCAUGUGUACUCGAAAGAGAAUUAAAGAGAAGUACGUGCCAGCGUUUCGAUUUAAAGGCUGGAUCGCGACAAUGCUGGAGUCCAACUGGCGUUACACAAUUGAAUCCGACUUCCAUCAACUCGGACUUGUGCUCCAGUCUACUGAAGUCGAACCAAAGAGCAAGGACUGCUUGGAGUUCAUCCAUUUUCUCUUGAGCAGACCUCAGGCGACCACUGCUAAAAGCCUUCUCGAACACAAGUGGAUCUUGCGAGUUCCCUGAAAAAAUACCUAGAAUAUGCUAAGAAUAUGCCAUAGAAGAAUUAGGGCUGACGUAGAUUGCCUAUCCUUAGAAUAUGCUUUGAACUCAAUCGACGAGGAUGAGCGAGUCUACGUCGCCGAUGUAGCAAUGUACGGUAUUUUAUCAUGCCCUAAAAGCAUAUGCGUAAAGAAUAUGAAACGAUACCUGAUUUUUUUCAAAGUCAUGUAUGAUUUUUUUCAAAGUCAUGUAGACUACUGUACCGAAGGAGGCUUGGCGUUUUCUGCACCGAAUGCGUUUAAAUGCGUUUCCUGGACCGAACUCGUGUUCUGCACUAAACUAAUUCAUCAGAACGCUCAAUCCACCUAAUCACGUUUUGUUUUUAGACCGGGUAUACUGCAUUUUUGAGGGUAUAUGUAUGACGAAGUCAUGCAGCACGUGCUGCGAUGAGCUAUACUUUCAUUUUGGUUAACCAUGUUUUCUGCAAUAAACUAACUCGUUUAGCCCAUUAUAAAAAUGGAGUCUUCUUCUGGUGUACAUACCUCUUCUGAAGGUGAAUUGCAAUGGCAACCAUGGCGACAAUGCAGGGAGCCUUCGGUUCAUUGAAGGAGAUUGGUGACAUUGUGGGGAAUUUUGAUUUCAGCAAGGUAAAGUGGAACCUGUCUUGCCCAAAGCAGUGCUUAACUCCUUGUGGAAUGCUCCAGAUUGAUGUGCGUUCCAAGAGUGCUGAGGAUUACCUCCACACCAACUUGGCACCAUCGUUUGGGGGAUUGAAUGCAGAAACAGUGAAGAAGAUGGAUGAGGUUCUCAAAGUUUGCAUCUCGGGAACCACCACUCUUCUCGCCAAAGUGGCACCGAAAGAGCGAACUUGGGAGAAGGUCAACUCCAUGUUCAUGCAAAACCCCCUGGUUGAGCCAAUGGGCGAUGGGAUUAGCAGAGCUGACAAGUUUCUCAACAAAAGCUCUAACGACUUCAAGUUUGACGGGUCACCGGAUGCAGCUAUUGUGAAAGCGGUAAUAGAAGUUAUGUAUUAUAGAAGAGCUCUAUUAACCUUUGCGGCCUUCUCUCGUCACAGGUUCAGACCUGGUUUGUGAAUCUCAUUGCAGAUGAGGACGUCCUGAAAUCAACCAAGAUCGACAUUGAAGUUCUUGGGCGCAUUGUUGCUCAGUCAGGGGCGACCAUUAACAGCUUUGAAACUUUCUUUGCCAAGCAUGAGCACCACGAGAAGACCAUAAUUGACAUUGACAUAAUUAAGGUACCCUGAUAUGCAAAACCCGUACUUCAAGGUUUGUGCCCAGGCUGCCCUUUGUAUUUCAGUCACAGCUCGUGUAUUUGAGCAGGUGUACCGCAUCAAACUCUUUACUUGGUCUGAUAGCAACCGUAUUCUGUUCCAUCAGGAGGAUUCCAAUGGCAUCACUGGAGGUGAGGUGUCUAAUGUAAACCACUGAAAACUGCACGGUCCUUUUGUUCUAUUUGCAGAGUUCACCUUCCGUAAGUUUAAGCCACGCAAGGAGGUCAUUGACAAGAUGAACCCAGACGCCAAAAAGAAGGCUGUGGAAGCUGCAGAUAACAUCUUUGUGUUCUAAUAUCCAGGCUAUGUCAAUCGAGCCAAGAUGCCCCGUGCUUCAAGCUAAAACAUCUUUCUAAAUAAUAAUCAAGUCCCUCAUGACUUUCAUUUACUGAAAAUAACAGUUUUUAUAUUUUUUAAUCUCAAUUUCUGAAAGAGACAAUCAGGAAAACAACGACUUCAUAGACCUGGAACGACAAACUGCAAUAAAAGUAAUAAAUAUCUAAAAGCUACAUGCUUUGGAUUCCAAGUACUUUUGUCAAUGUAGCAAAUUUUUGCCGUCCACUGGAACAUUGAAAGGUGAUGAUAAGUUUAUCUAUCUAUCUAUAUACUGUUUAUAGUCUUGUGGUGCUCAUCAAGAAGCAUAAGUAUUCUUUGUGAUAUAUUAAUAAAAGGAAACAUGAGUUCAUUAUCAUUGUCUCGUUGGUCUCUGUAGAUUCUUUGCGCUCAAGGUUACCACAAGUUAGCCAGGGACAAGUUGAUGGCUUGGCUGUGAGUGCCAUUUGGCUCUCCAUCUGGUGCCGGAUUUUCCCAUCCUGUUGCUUUGAUGCAAACGACCCCAGGAACACUGUCGCAAUAAUAUUGUAGAGCAACAAGGUCUCUCAGACAAGGUAAUAUCUAAAUUGAGUUUGACAAGGAACAAAACUUCGAGAAUAGAACUUCAGAGAAUGCUACUGGGCGUUUUUGUUGCAAACGGCUUGGCACAGCGCAGCCAGUGCUGAUGGGAACAAGGCAAAGGGAGGCCCUCAAAACCAUCGAGCUUUUCCUCCUGUAACUCACGAACUUUGUCACGAGCAUAUUGUAAGUUUUCUUUGGCAAAUGCUUGCGUACUGAUCAGUUGUUUCAGGCUAUUUCGGCAGCGCAUCACAGGUGUGACAUCUCCUGCUAUGAUCCUAGAGAUCUACUCCGGGAGUAGAUUUCUCGCUCGUUCAAGACGAUCCAGAUGUUAAGGCAGUUGUAAAUUUUUAGAUUAAUUGUUCCUAGUGUUCCUCUAACAUGGCACUGUUUGGGUUUGAAAUCUAGUAAGCUAAAUGCGCAGGCCAUGCAUUUUGUACAAUGUAUCCAAUCUUUCCAAAACAACAAUUCCCUUUUUUCUUUUCUUACUUUCUUGUCCAGCUGAGAACACAGGUUUGUCUAGCUCAAGCAUGAGUCGUUCUGACAUGAUUGAAUUUAUCCUUGCUCAUAUUUACGACCACAAUCUAAAGUGAUGCUUGCCUUCCAUGCAAGCCUCGCAAUCCCCUAAACCAUGAAGUCAGUCCAAAUCACAAGCAGUAACAAGGUUCUGCUUGACAAUGGGGUACAUGUCCAAAGCGGCGGUGCCACAGCAACAUAUGCAACUCUCUUGUUAAGAAAAUUCGGAAAGGUGGGAUCAUUAUAGCAUCUAGCUUGUAAAUACUGGCAUAUCUGCUUCCAUACAUAGACUCGCAGAGUGAUAGAAAUACCAUUGGGAUCGCCAGAAAGAUGAUAACGAUGCAUCCAAGGAAAGUAAAUUCUCUGUCAACUCGGAAACAUAAAAGACAUUUUCUAUAAGUCAAGUCUCGCCAUUCUUGAGCUGGACCAUCAUGGUGCCAACGCCCUUGGCCUCAUAAAAGCGUCCUCCAGCAGCACGAAUGCGCUUACCAGUCAGAAUCUCACUAUAAGUCUGAUAAACAUCCUUGAACAGCAUGACAUGAAAUGCUGCAGCAGUGUUGAGCUAAAGAAUUUCUGACUCCAAGGGACCAUAGCUUGCCAUAUAUGCACAAGAUUGUGUGGAAUUAUUUGCACUUUGGCUAGCACGGUCAGGAGGAACAUCCUUGCCUGAGGCGAUAUCAGCAGCCUUUAGGACACUCCUUUGCGUAAUUGCAAGGCUUACAACGACUAGGCCACCUCUUCUGUUUAUUGGAGUUGCUCCCACUGGGAUUGCUUCCACUCCGACUCACAGCAGGAAUUGAAGUGGUAGAACCAGAAGGAUAGGCCUCUUGAGCUAUAAAGACUGUUGCCUUGGCUGCCUUUCCUGAUGCCAUACGUAAAUUAUGCUGCCAUUGUUCCUCCUUGAGUGCAACACAUAUUUGAAGAAAGGUAAGCUUCAUUUGCAUACUCUGUAAAGACGUGCAGAUCUGUUGGAAAUGCUCAAUAUCUAGAAUACCAUUCAAUAAUGCUGCUCGUUUGUCCACAUCUGUGAGGCAAACCUCAAUAUAAUUUAUAUCAUUGACAAAUUUCUCAAUGGGUUCACGCCCUUUCAAGGUCACAACAUGCUCCUCUGUCUGUGCCCCAAGAAUUUGGGAUAAAGCAGUCCAAUUCUCGCUGGAAAUCUUGGCACAAUCAAGAAGAUGAAUUUACUGCUCACCAAAGACCAAUCUUGAUUAUGGAAAAGACUCACUUUUUUCGAAUUUUCCAAUCACGCUACUCCACAAUGGCGCCCUGCUGCUGCUUGCCAUAUGACUGCGAACAUGCAACAAUCUCCCAUGAUUAAUACAGAGAUCGCGGGAAGCAUGGUGUACCAUUCACAGCUCUGAUACCAUGAUGAUACUGCUAAAGAGCAUCUUACACCCUAGGUAUAGAGGAA